rnacentral:rRNA from 1 species
UACGGGGGGGGCAAGCGUUGUUCGGAAUUACUGGGCGUAAAGGGCUCGUAGGCGGCCAACUAAGUCGGAUGUGAAAUCCCCAAGCUUAACUUGGGAACUGCAUCCGAUACUGGAUGGCUUGAAUCCGGGAGAGGGAUGCAGAAUUCCAGGUGUAGCGGUGAAAUGCGUAGAUAUCUGGAGGAAUACAGGUGGCGAAGGCGGCAUCCUGGACCGGCAUUGACGCUGAGGAGCGAAAGCUAGGGGAGCAAACGGG